UCCGCAGUAGCUCAAUGGUAGAGCGGGUGGCUGUUAACCACUAGGUUGGGGGUUCAAAUCCCUCCUGCGGAGCCA
rnacentral:tRNA from 1 species